AGUGAACGCUGGCGGUAGGCCUAACACAUGCAAGUCGAACGGCAGCACAGUAAGAGCUUGCUCUUACGGGUGGCGAGUGGCGGACGGGUGAGGAAUACAUCGGAAUCUACUUUUUCGUGGGGGAUAACGUAGGGAAACUUACGCUAAUACCGCAUACGACCUACGGGUGAAAGCAGGGGAUCUUCGGACCUUGCGCGAUUGAAUGAGCCGAUGUCGGAUUAGCUAGUUGGCGGGGUAAAGGCCCACCAAGGCGACGAUCCGUAGCUGGUCUGAGAGGAUGAUCAGCCACACUGGAACUGAGACACGGUCCAGACUCCUGCGGGAGGCAGCAGUGGGGAAUAUGGGGCAAUGGGCGCAAGCCUGAUCCAGCCAUACCGCGUGGGUGAAGAAGGCCUUCGGGUUGUAAAGCCCUUUUGUUGGGAAAGAAAAGCAGCAGGUUAAUACCCCGCUGUUCUGACGGUACCCAAAGAAUAAGCACCGGCUAACUUCGUG
rnacentral:rRNA from 1 species